GACGAACGCUGGCGGCGUGCCUAAUACAUGCAAGUAGAACGCUGAAGAGAGGAGCUUGCUCUUCUUGGAUGAGUUGCGAACGGGUGAGUAACGCGUAGGUAACCUGCCUUGUAGCGGGGGAUAACUAUUGGAAACGAUAGCUAAUACCGCAUAACAAUGGAUGACACAUGUCAUUUAUUUGAAAGGGGCAAUUGCUCCACUACAAGAUGGACCUGCGUUGUAUUAGCUAGUAGGUGAGGUAAUGGCUCACCUAGGCGACGAUACAUAGCCGACCUGAGAGGGUGAGCGGCCACACUGGGACUGAGACACGGCCCAGACUCCUACGGGAGGCAGCAGUAGGGAAUCGUCGGCAAUGGGGGCAACCCUGACCGAGCAACGCCGCGUGAGUGAAGAAGGUUUUCGGAUCGUAAAGCUCUGUUGUAAGUCAAGAACGGGUGUGAGAGUGGAAAGUUCACACUGUGACGGUAGCUGACCAGAAAGGGACGGCUAACUACGUG
rnacentral:rRNA from 1 species